rnacentral:lncRNA from 1 species
UUUUGAGACAGCUGACUGGACUAAGGCAGAACGAAAGAGGGGAAGACUCACUUGUUUCUUCACAGGAUUAAACAGGGGCAGGCAGCUGGGACAAAGCAGCACUGGACCCGAGCUGGAGGGAUGGAUCCCGGGCCCUCCACUCACUGGCCGACAAUGACGGGCAAGUGGCUUCACCUCUCGUCCCUCAGUGACUUCAUCUAUAAAUGGGGCUGAAAUCAGGGAAUCAAAAGGCAUGAAGAGCUAGCCCCUAGCAUGACACUUGGCCUACUUUUGGUAUUUAAUAAACGUCUUCUGACCUGGUCCUCCUUCGUACCUCAACCACAUCAGACACAGCGUCAUGAUGAUUUUUCCCCUGAGCAAAGUGGCUUUGUGUGAAGUUGCUAGGCCUGAGUUUCCCCAUCUAAAAUACGCAGGUUGACCUGGAUGAUCUGUGCCUCAGCUACACCUACAGACCUCUCUGCUCACCAUCAUGAGUGCCCCUAGCAAAGGGAGACAGGGGCCCUGGGGUGUUGGGAGGAAUGGACACUCAAUUUCCAGUCAGGCAUUGAACAGGUCAGUGGAUUAGUGGGUCUGUGAUUCAUUCAUCCAUCCAUUUUGUCAACCAUUUGUUAGAUCAUUUGUCAACCAGCCAGCCAGCCCAGUGGCUGGUCAGCUCACAGCAUAUUCUGGUCCUUGUACUGCUUCCAGCCCAGUAAACUCAACCAAAGAGAAAGAGAACAGAAGAAUGAGAAUAAACAAACUCCAACUGCCCACAACAACACACUGAGUGAAAGAAGCCAGACCCCAAACUGAACAUACUGUAUGAUUUUCUUUGUAUUAUAAAAGUGUCACACACACACAAAAAGUGUCAGUACAUCCAAAACCAACCGAAAGUGUCAGAAGCCAUGAUAAGGAUUAUCCUAUGCAGGGGAUCAGGGAAACGGUAAGUAGUGACUGGACGGCAGCUCAUGGGGCUUUUGGGAUUCUGGUAAUAUUCUGUUUCUAAAUCUGGGUGCUGGUGACACAGUGUUUGCCUAGCGAAAAUUCAUUGAAUUGUACAUUUAAGUUUUUACACUUUCCUGUAUCUACGCUAUGCUAUAGUUCAAUAAAAAUUUACCCAAAAAAAUAAUAAAAGAAAGAAAAGAAAAGCAAGAAAAAGCAAGGAAAUGCACAGAGCAGUUAACUCAGCAAUUCCAGUUCUAAGAGCUGCUUAUCCUGUAGUUAUCCUUCCAGGUGGGCAAAUGAUGGAGGGGCAUGAUGUUCCUGGAAAACUGGAAACCUAAAAGUCUUGGUUAUUCAACCAGAAUGUUAAAUAAACAACACAUCCAUAUGAUGGAAUAUUACUUAACCAUUACAAAGUAUGAUCGUUAUGUACCAAUUGCAAUAAGCCCUUAGACUGAAAAGUCAGUAAGUGAGCCCAGGAGGUAUACAGCACUACCCUCUGUAGCAGCAAGCGUGCAUAGCCACAGGCUCUCUCUGGAACGACACAGGAGAAAGUGGUGGCAUUCUGGCCUGCAGGCUCACGCUCUCCCCUUAGGGGAUGUUAUCUGUGGCCACAUCCAGUCUGCCUGCCAGACCAUGCUCUUCCCGAGGGUCUACGGAGCCUGGUGCCAGUAGUCUUAGUUCAGUCUCCAAGUGAAUGAUUCGCAAUAGUCUGUAGCUUACAAAUUGCCAUCCCUCUGACUGCGGGCAGGGCCAGAUUCAGGGGUUUGGCGACGACCACAGACUGUCUGUCCAUCUGGAAGAUGGGCUAGAUGUGCGCAGAACAGGGGCUCAUGGCUGAAGAGGGCACAGUUCCCACAUGCGCCUGCUGUCCAAGGAGCAGAAACAGACCCUGGGGCAAGAGAAGCCAGAGUGCCAGUUCAGGGAGAGCUGCUGCCGCCUUCUGUCCUGCAGGAAAGAAGACUUGGCAAGGUCACACCGGCAAAACAAGGAUUUGUAUGCAGGUCUGACUCCAAAGCCCGGGCAUGCUGCCUUCUGCAGAGGCCAAUCAGGGAGGGCUUCACUGGGGAGUCAUAUGCAGUCUUUUUUUCUUUUUUUUUUUCUUUUUUGAGACGGAGUUUCA